CAUUACCUAGCGGCGGACGGGUGAGUAAUGCUUAGGAAUCUGCCUAUUAGUGGGGGACAACAUUCCGAAAGGAAUGCUAAUACCGCAUACGUCCUACGGGAGAAAGCAGGGGAUCUUCGGACCUUGCGCUAAUAGAUGAGCCUAAGUCGGAUUAGCUAGUUGGUGGGGUAAAGGCCUACCAAGGCGACGAUCUGUAGCGGGUCUGAGAGGAUGAUCCGCCACACUGGGACUGAGACACGGCCCAGACUCCUACGGGAGGCAGCAGUGGGGAAUAUUGGACAAUGGGGGGAACCCUGAUCCAGCCAUGCCGCGUGUGUGAAGAAGGCCUUAUGGUUGUAAAGCACUUUAAGC
rnacentral:rRNA from 1 species